AGCAGCCGCGGUAAUUCCAGCUCCAAUAGCGUAUAUUAAAGUUGUUGCAGUUAAAAGCUCGUAGUUGAAUUUCGGGGUUAGUAGGUUGGUCAUGCCUCCGGUAUGUACUGGUCUCACUGAUUCCUCCUUCCUGACGAACCGUAAUGCCAUUAAUUUGGUGUUGCGGGAAUUUGGACUGUUACUUUGAAAAAUUAGAGUGUUUAAAGCAAGCUAACGCUUGAAUUACAUUAGCAUGGAAUAAUGAAAUAGGACGUUCGAUCCUAUUUGUUGGUUUCUAGGAUUGACGUAAUGAUUAAUAGGGAUAGUUGGGGGCAUUAGGUAUUCAAUUGUCAGAGGUGAAAUUCUUGGAUUUAUUGAAGACUAACUACUGCGGAAGCAUUUGC
rnacentral:sRNA from 1 species